rnacentral:lncRNA from 1 species
CUCAGAGCUAUGGUUUAAAACAUGCUGAACAGGUAUGGGCUGAACCUGAAGGAAGGCUCCUUCGGAAAGUGCGGACACGAAGAGGACGCACACGGCAGUACUGACCACGGCGACUUCAAACUCCGGCGCGAGCUCGCCGCGCGAGCACCGCUGCGGCUUCCCGCGCCUCGGAACAGAGCGACGGCGCCCCCUAAAGGCGGAGGAGGCGGUGCGAUGAGCAGGCUGUCAUCAUGAGGCGAUUCUGCAUCGGCGCUGCUGAGACACGCACAGCAGCGCGUAUCCGGCGUUGAAAAACGGUGCAGGGUGAAAUGCGAGCGGAAAUGGGCAACAAUUGAUGCAGGCGAACGAGGAGGGACUGGCUGAAGAGCAGAAGACAAAGACUGGCGGACCCGCAGCGAGUCCAGAAGGGAUCCCCGCACCCGCACCCGAACCGCAUCCAUCCGCAGCCCGCAGCCCGGCACGCUGCGGUUCUUCAUCAUGCAGACCCGAUCGCAAAGACAGUAAGGAGCAUCCAGAAGCUUGUAAAGCAAAACAAUCAUUUAAACAAAAAGAUGAAAUCAUCAUUGCCAGUGAGGAUCAUUCACAAAGUAACACAGGGAAGGUGAGCCAUUACUACGGGCAUCAUAGGUAUGUUCCAGCAAAAUAAUAAUAACAACUACCCCUGCCUGCAGAGGGUCUGUGGAAACAGGGACAUCCUGCUGGAUGGAGUGGAAGGAUAUAUCCCUUCAGUCAGGCACUUACAUGACCUCGGGAGGGUAAAGGGCUUUAGGACAUGGGUGGUAAGCACUAAAACCCAGAUUGGUGGUCAGCACCUAAAGCCUAUACUGAAACUUGCAGACCCAGCACCCUGUUUUAGAAUGGUGGGUGGAAUUGCACCCCGGCAUGCAAAUGACCCAUUGGGCAACCUACGCCCAAGGAAGGCCAGGACGAAAAACACUGUUAAGCAGGACACAAGGACCUUCCAAGAGGAUAAGCAGGACAGAGAGUCCCAGUCCCAAGGAACUGAGAGCUUCCAACAUACUCUAGUGAAGAACUGUGCAAAACAUCAUGAAGCUGAAAGCACAGCAGCAGCAAGUCUGAGGAAAAAAGGCAAAGAGUGUAAUCAGUCAAGACACAAUGUGGACGCGGAGUCCAAAAGCUGCAGGAUGCCCGAGCAUUUGGAUUCGAGACAAAGGAGUUCUGAGGUUGGCAGGGAAGAUCCAGCCAAAGCCGAUGUGCACAAGUUUCAAUCCAAGUCCCCUGAAAUCACAAACAGCUGCUUUCUGGACUCAUUGGGGAACCAAAGUGAUGAGCCUAGCACUGGCUGCACAGGAGAUGUCAAAGCCUCCAUGAAAUGCAAGAAUGACGUUCAUGCAGUUUGUGUGACAGAGACCUUGAAAUAUCUCUUGGCAAAGAUUGAAUCCAAGAAGACCACAGAGUCUGAAAUUCCUCAAAAGCAAAACCAGAAGAGCAAUGGGGGGUCAAGUGAAGGAAUGAUGGAAAAGUUGCCACGCCGAUGGGUUACUACUGAUGUCCCUGAGAGACAUAGCUGUAUGGAGACUGGGUCAGUUGAUCAAGGUUGUGGACCUUGCUCACUGGUCCAUCAAGGUCUCUUUAGCUCCACCAGUGGCGAGGAGAAUUGUGGGAAAAAUCUGAGGAGCCCCCAGAAGGUGGAAACAGAGCUACUGGGGAUUAAACAGGCUGAGCUAUCAGCUGAUUCCAGUUCCUGUAAGACACAAAGUGGGCAGAUUUCUGAGGUACAAGCUUGGUUGGAAGCAAAAUGGGUGGUGAAAGAACCAAACAAGCAGGCUUUGUUAUUAAUCUCCAGCGAGGAAGGAGGAAUGAGGUCAGCUAUUUUUCCUUCACGAGGUCUUGACAGUGCUCCUUCUGGGGCUGCACAUGUGUGCUGUAAUCUGGUACCCUCAGAGGCUGGGAAAAUGGUCCUUACACUUCCAAGCAGGUGGCAAACUGAGGUCGAAAGUAGGAUGCCAGCACUGCCAACGUUGGAGGAGCCGGAGCAGCAGGAAAAAUGCAAGAUCACGGUAACAAGUGUCGAGGAGUGUGUCGAUGUGGAGCAGGAUGACGAUUUUGGCCUGUUUGUACAGGCAAUAGAUCAUCCAUCCUGGGACAGUGACAAAGAUCUGCACCAAGUGCCUUGCGAUAAAAGUGAACGUCCAGUAGCAGAAAGUUAUGCCACUGAGGGUAUAGCUGUCAGUUUGCUGUCAGAUGGAAGGGGAGGCCAGCUCCCCCAGUCAGAGGACACGUGGAUUGCGUUCCAAGAUGACGUCGGUCCCCAGCUGGGAAAAGGACAAGAGGAGCAGCUUCCAAAGCAGCCAGAGGGACAGUGGUGGCCCCCAAGUGCUGUGGAAGAUAAGAACCCCCUUCCUUCCCCAAAGACCUCUGACAAUGUGUCCGGUGUGAUUUUAGACGCAUUCCCGUCUACAUCCCCGCCCUGCUGCAAUCCUGACAGCAUCAUGUCUCUUAGACAACUUGUGCAGAGCAAUCCAGCGACAGACAACAG